rnacentral:rRNA from 1 species
UACGUAGGGUGCGAGCGUUAAUCGGAAUUACUGGGCGUAAAGCGUGCGCAGGCGGCGCGUUAAGACAGGUGUGAAAGCCCCGAGCUUAACUGGGAAUUUGCGCUUGUGACUGGCGUGCUGGAGUGUGGCAGAGGGAGGUGGAAUUCCACGUGUAGCAGUGAAAUGCGUAGAGAUGUGGAGGAACACCGAUGGCGAAGGCAGCCUCCUGGGCCAGCACUGACGCUCAUGCACGAAAGCGUGGGGAGCAAACAGG